CCUACGGGUGGCAGCAGUGGGGAAUAUUGGGCAAUGGGCGCAAGCCUGACCCAGCAACGCCGCGUGAAGGAAGAAGGCUUUCGGGUUGUAAACUUCUUUUCUCAGGGACGAAGCAAGUGACGGUACCUGAGGUAUAAGCCACGGCUAACUACGUGCCAGCAGCCGCGGUAAUACGUAAGUGGCAAGCGUUAUCCGGAUUUCCUGGGUUUAAAGGGCGUGUAGGCGGGAAAGCAAGUCAGAUGUGAAAACCAUGGGCUCAAACUGUGGCCUGCAUUUGAUACUGUUUUUCUUGAGUACUGGAGAGGCAGGCGGAAUUCGUGGUGUAGCGGUGAAAGGCGUAGAUAUAAGGAAGAACACCAGUGGCGAAGGCAGUCUACUGGACAGCAACUGACGCUGAGGCACGAAAGCGUGGGGAGCAAACAGGAUUAGAUACCCCUGUAGUC
rnacentral:rRNA from 1 species